GUAGGCGGCAAGCGUUGUCCGGAAUUAUUGGGCGUAAAGCGCGCGCAGGCGGUCCUUUAAGUCUGAUGUGAAAGCCCACGGCUCAACCGUGGAGGGUCAUUGGAAACUGGGGGACUUGAGUACAGAAGAGGAAAGCGGAAUUCCACGUGUAGCGGUGAAAUGCGUAGAGAUGUGGAGGAACACCAGUGGCGAAGGCGGCUUUCUGGUCUGUAACUGACGCUGAGGCGCGAAAGCGUGGGGAGCAAACAGGAUUAGAUACCCUGGUAGUCCACGCCGUAAACGAUGAGUGCUAAGUGUUAGGGGGUUUCCGCCCCCUUAGUGCUGCAGCUAACGCAUUAAGCACUCCGCCUGGGAGUACGGCCGCAAGGCUG
rnacentral:rRNA from 1 species